GAUUGCAGGCUGCAACCCGCCUGCAUGAAGUCGGAAUUGCUAGUAAUCGCGGAUCAGCAUGCCGCGGUGAAUACGUUCCCGGGCCUUGCACACACCGCCCGUCACACCAUGGGAGUCGGUAACACCCGGAAGCCUGUAGUCUAACCGCAAGGAGGACGCAGUCGAAGGUGGGAUUGAUGACUGGGGUGAAGUCGUAACAAGGUAAC
rnacentral:rRNA from 1 species